GUUCAAAGGUCAACAUGUAAAUGCACGAAGUAAUCUGCAGACAAACAGCCCAGCCCUCAGUACAGUCAUCAAGAUAGCGAAUGUGUGCCCCUUUCUUCACUGGGAAGAAAAAAGACAGAGCAGCACAGCCUAUUCACUCACUAACGCAAACUAUAAGACCUGUCUGUCUCUAUGGGACCAAUGAAUGGCUGUCUUGGCCUGUUUCCAGCCCAGUCCAGUGCCUACCAUCUGUACGCACUCCAUCAGAGGCAGGCGCACCGAUUGGUUGCCGCACAGAGAGACCACACAGGCUGGCGUGUUGGCUGUGGUCUCCAGAAGGGCGAGAACUGCCUCCACACCCAUACGACUGGCC